CAGUCGCCACGGUAAUACAGAGGAUGCAAGCGUUAUCCGGAAUGAUUGGGCGUAAAGCGUCUGUAGGUGGCUUUUCAAGUCCGCCGUCAAAUCCCCGGGCUCAACCCUGGACAGGCAGUGGAAACUACCAAGCUGGAGUGCGGUAGGGGCAGAGGGAAUUUCCGGUGGAGCGGUGAAAUGCGUUGAGAUCGGAAAGAGCACCAACGGCGAAAGCACUCUGCUGGGCCGACACUGACACUGAGAGACGAAAGCUAGGGGAGCAAAUGGGAUUAGAUACCCCGGUAGUCCCUGUCUCUUAUAA
rnacentral:rRNA from 1 species